rnacentral:rRNA from 1 species
ACCAUGUGGUUUAAUUGGAUGCAACGCGAAGAACCUUACCUGGUCUUGACAUAUCUAGAAUCCUGCAGAGAUGCGGGAGUGCCUUCGGGAAUUAGAAUACAGGUGCUGCAUGGCUGUCGUCAGCUCGUGUCGUGAGAUGUUGGGUUAAGUCCCGCAACGAGCGCAACCCUUGUCCUUAGUUACCAGCGGGUUAAGCCGGGAACUCUAAGGAUACUGCCAGUGACAAACUGGAGGAAGGCGGGGACGACGUCAAGUCAUCAUGGCCCUUACGACCAGGGCUACACACGUGCUACAAUGGUAGGUACAGAGGGCAGCUACACAGCGAUGUGAUGCGAAUCUCAAAAAGCCUAUCGUAGUCCAGAUUGGAGUCUGCAACUCGACUCCAUGAAGUAGGAAUCGCUAGUAAUCGCGGAUCAGAAUGCCGCGGUGAAUACGUUCCCGGGCCUUGUACACACCGCCCGUCACACCAUGGGAGUUGAUUGCACCAGAAGUGGAUAGCUUAACCUUCGGGGAGGCGUUCACCACGGUGUGGUUGAUGACUGGGGUGAAGUCGUAACAAGGUA